UACGGAGGAUGCAAGCGUUAUCCGGAUUUAUUGGGCGUAAAGCGUCCGCAGGUGGUUUUCCAAGUCUGCUGUUAAAGCGCGAGGCUUAACCUCGUACAGGCAGUGGAAACUGGAUGACUAGAGUAUGGUAGGGGUAGCGGGAAUUCCCAGUGUAGCGGUGAAAUGCGUAGAUAUUGGGAAGAACACCAGCGGCGAAGGCAGCACCCUGGGCCGGUACUGACGCUGAGGAGCGAAAGCGUGGGGAGCAAACAGG
rnacentral:rRNA from 1 species